rfam:Triticum aestivum genome assembly, contig: Triticum_aestivum_CS42_TGACv1_scaffold_393328_5AS
AUAAUACUCCAUUCGUCCGAAAAUACUUGUCAUCAAAAUAAACAAAAUGAGAUAUAUCUAGACGUAUUUUAGUUUUAGAUAUAUUUUAUUUAUCCAUUUUAAUGACAAGUAUUUUCAGACGAAAGAAGUAUUUC